CAUGACAAUUAAUGCCUUAAUAACGUGCAAUUAAAUCGUCGUGUUUCACGAACAGAAUGAAUUCAAAUGAACUUUCCGGCAUACUUUCUCUUGCAGCCAAUAUCAACCUAAGUGUUGGAUUACAUUGCAAAUACGAAAGAAUCGCUUUCGAAACGCUUGGGAGAGGGUAGUAUAGAACUAACGCAAAGAUAAUUUACCAGCGCGUGAAAUUGCCAUCAAAAAAACGUUUGAUGUUAUGCUAAGGAUUAAAAGUUUAAGAAAAUACGUACCUGACCGGCUGUAUCACAGAAUUGAACUGUACAUGGAACAUUGUUGACUGUCACGGAAACUACAUGAAGAAAAGAAGAGAACAAAAUGUUUAUAUUAAACUAGCAAGUAAUAAGAUUACUAUUAAAUACAUCAUAAAUAAAUUAAAUAAAAACACACAUAACAA